GAGUGAACACAGCUCUUCAAGAAAUUUUUCUAGCUGAAUUUCUGAUUUUCGUUGGAAAAUCCAU
ensembl:snRNA U7 U7 small nuclear RNA